AUUGGAAAGCUCUGUUCUCCUGAGUGGAAAGAGGAAAGCAGCUGGCAAACUCAUGGAACCACUCCUGUUGCAUGAUGAAGAGGAGCAUGCUUCACCGGCCAGCGAUAGUGCAGAGGACUAAAAAGCCUGAGGAGUGUGCCCUCCGGAAAACUUGUGGACAAAUAACGUCUCCAGAAGAUGUCUGGUAUAGUGUAAACAAUGGCAGAAGCAGGCCAAGCUGGAAAAAACAAGGGAAAAGAAGCUCUGACCUCUCUCUACUGAUAACACAACACCCAGACUCAGCACAGCAUUCAAGAAGUGACUGCACCAGAAUACUUCUGUACAUGCAGCCCAGAAUACCACUGGCUUUUUCUAAAUGGGUUACUAACCAAUGUCUAAUUCUGGUCUACUAUCAGCUUUUUGUCUCCUUCAAGUUUUUGCUCUCAUGCUGUAUAUACAUAUAUAUGUUUUCAAUAAAAUCAUUGGAAACAAUACAAUUUAAUGCAAUUUAACUUUUUUCUGCCUUUGGUUAUGUAGCUUUUCCCUGAUCCCAUGACUUUGUCUCUUCUGUUGAAUCUCAGGUCGGUUCAUGUAAUUGAAUAA